ACCCAUAAUCUUUGUCGGCCUCAGCUUUAUAAUUUUUCGGGUGACUAACUUUAUUGAAAUAAGUGUAUCCAGUAAUCUUUUGCCUUCUUCCUUAGUCUUGGAUGGGGUAGGAGUUCGAACGGCUCAUUUACUUUUGACGAUGUUAUACAAUUGGCCUAACUUUCUCAUUUCCUUAUAUUCAUCUCAAAUAUCGGUAAGGACAUUCCGCAGAGAAUCUUUUCUUCUAGAAGGCUUGAACAAAUUUUCAAUGACAGAUAUCCCCUUCUCGYUCCCUCCCCCUUCGCUUCUUUUUUGCUCGGUCUCAAUUCUCGCUCCAAAGUUCCCCCUAAACCCCGGUUUUUCCCCAAACCCACAAGAACGUCUGCUUUGCAGGCUACUUCCGUUGAGAAAUCAGUGAAGAAUCAUGAUAACGUGGAGUGGAAGAAAGAUGAAAGAGUAUUCAACCUGACCAAAUCUCCCGAUCAAACGGAAACCGCUCAAGACGAUUCAGCAGUGUCUCCCGUUGGGGAAUCAGUGAAGAAUCAUGAUUACGUGGUAUGAUUU